GACGAACGCUGGCGGCGUGCUUAACACAUGCAAGUCGAACGGUGAUGCUCCAGCUUGCUGGAGUGGAUCAGUGGCGAACGGGUGAGUAACACGUGAGCAACCUGCCCCAGACUCUGGAAUAAGCGCUGGAAACGGCGUCUAAUACUGGAUACGAAACUGGCCCGCAUGGGCAUGGUUUGGAAAGUUUUUCGGUUUGGGAUGGGCUCGCGGCCUAUCAGCUUGUUGGUGAGGUAAUGGCUCACCAAGGCGACGACGGGUAGCCGGCCUGAGAGGGCGACCGGCCACACUGGGACUGAGACACGGCCCAGACUCCUACGGGAGGCAGCAGUGGGGAAUAUUGCACAAUGGGUGAAAGCCUGAUGCAGCGACGCCGCGUGAGGGAUGACGGCCUUCGGGUUGUGAACCUCUUUCAGCAGGGAAGAAGCGAAAGUGACGGUACCUGCAGAAGAAGCACCGGCUAACUACGUG
rnacentral:rRNA from 1 species